UACGGGGGGAGCAAGCGUUGUUCGGAUUUACUGGGCGUAAAGGGCGCGUAGGCGGUCAGCACAAGUCAGUUGUGAAAUCUCCGGGCUUAACUCGGAAAGGUCAACUGAUACUGUGCGGCUAGAGUGCAGAAGGGGCAACUGGAAUUCUCGGUGUAGCGGUGGAAUGCGUAGAGAUCCGGAGGAAGACCGGUGGCGAAGGCGGCCUGCUGGGCAGUUACUGACACUGAGGCGCGACAGCGUGGGGAGCAAACAGG
rnacentral:rRNA from 1 species